UNUGGGCCGUUACUGACGCUGAGGAGCGAAAGCGUGGGGAGCGAACAGGAUUAGAUACCCUGGUAGUNCACGCCGUAAACGUUGGGCACUAGGUGUGGGGGGCCUUUUCCGGGUUUUCCGCGCCGUAGCUAACGCAUUAAGUGCCCCGCCUGGGGAUUACGGCCGCAAGGCUAAAACUCAAAGGAAUUGACGGGGGCCCGCACAAGCGGCGGAGCAUGCGGAUUAAUUCGAUGCAACGCGAAGAACCUUACCAAGGCUUGACAUGUGCCGGUCGGCUCCGGAGACGGGGUUUCCUCCUUGUGGGGCCGGUUCACAGGUGGUGCAUGGUUGUCGUCAGCUCGUGUCGUGAGAUGUUGGGUUAAGUCCCGCAACGAGCGCAACCCUUGUCUCGUGUUGCCAGCACGUUGUGGUGGGGACUCGCGGGAGACUGCCGGGGUCAACUCGGAGGAAGGUGGGGAUGACGUCAAAUCAUCAUGCCCCUUAUGUCUUGGGCUUCACGCAUGCUACAAUGGCCGGUACAGAGGGCUGCGAUACUGUGAGGUGGAGCGAAUCCCUUAAAGCCGGUCUCAGUUCGGAUCGGUGUC
rnacentral:rRNA from 1 species